rnacentral:rRNA from 1 species
UACGGGGGGGGCAAGCGUUGUUCGGAAUUACUGGGCGUAAAGGGCUCGUAGGCGGCCAACUAAGUCAGACGUGAAAUCCCCAGGCUCAACCUGGGAACUGCAUCCGAUACUGGAUGGCUUGAAUUCGGGAGAGGGAUGCAGAAUUCCAGGUGUAGCGGUGAAAUGCGUAGAUAUCUGGAGGAAUACCGGUGGCGAAGGCGGCAUCCUGGACCGACAUUGACGCUGAGGAGCGAAAGCAUGGGGAGCGAACAGG